rnacentral:pre_miRNA from 1 species
AAUAAAUGCAGUCGUGAAUAUCCGUGCCCAACGUUUGACCGUCCGUCUUAUUUGAAAAAUUUGAAAAUAUUUAGUCACACAUAAAGUACUAUUCAUGUUUUAUCAUCUAAUAGCAAUAAAAAUACUAAUCAUAAUUUUUUUUAAAUAAAACGAACGGUCAAACAUUGAACGUGAAUAGU